GGAAGUCUUCCACAAUGGGCGGAAAGCCUGAUGGAGCAACGCCGCGUGUGUGAUGAAGGGUUUCGGCUCGUAAAACACUGUUGUAAGAGAAGAAUGACAUUGAGAGUAACUGUUCAAUGUGUGACGGUAUCUUACCAGAAAGGAACGGCUAAAUACGUGCCAG
rnacentral:rRNA from 1 species